GACGAACGCUGGCGGCGUGCCUAAUACAUGCAAGUCGAACGAGAGCAACCGGUGCUUGCACUGGUCAAUCUAGUGGCGAACGGGUGAGUAACACGUGGGUAACCUGCCCAUCAGAGGGGGAUAACAUCCGGAAACGGAUGCUAAAACCGCAUAGGUCUUCGAACCGCAUGGUUUGAAGAGGAAAAGAGGCGCAAGCUUCUGCUGUUGGUUGGACCCGCGGUGCAUUAGCUAGUUGGUGAGGUAACGGCUCACCAAGGCCGUGAUGCAUAGCCGACCUGAGAGGGUGAUCGGCCACACUGGAACUGAGACACGGUCCAAACUCCUACGGGAGGCAGCAGUAGGGAAUCUUCCGCAAUGGACGCAAGUCUGACGGAGCAACGCCGCGUGAGUGAAGAAGGUUUUCGGAUCGUAAAACUCUGUUAUUAGGGAAGAACAAGUGCUAGAGUAACUGUUAGCGCCUUGACGGUAUCUAACCAGAAAGCCACGGCUAACUACGUG
rnacentral:rRNA from 1 species